rnacentral:pre_miRNA from 1 species
GAGACACCCCUGUGGAGCAGGGCUUGCUUCAGUGGGGCUUUGGUGCUCACUGAGUCUGCCCCUUGAAGUGUAUUGCU